GAUGAAGAACGCAGCGAAAUGCGAUAAGUAGUGUGAAUUGCAGAAUUCAGUGAAUCAUCGAAUCUUUGAACGCACAUUGCGCCCCUCGGUAUUCCGUGGGGCAUGCCUGUUCGAGCGUCAUUUACCCCUCAAGCACUGCUUGGUGUUGGGCGUCUGUCCCGCUUCGCGCGCGGACUCGCCCCAAAGGUAUUGGCAGCGGUCGUGCCAGCUUCUCGCGCAGCACAUUGCGCUUCUCGAGGCGGUCGAUCGGCGUCCACGAAGCUCACCUCCACCGUUUGACCUCGGAUCAGGUAGGACUACCCGCUGAACUUAAGCAUAUCAAUAAGCGGAGGA
rnacentral:misc_RNA from 1 species